UUAUAGUUUACUAUAAUAUGCUUUAGUGGCAGACGGGUGAGUAAUAUAUAGGAAUCUACCUAAUAGUAUGGGAUAAUUGUUAGAAAUGACAGCUAAUACCAUAUAUUCCUUACGAGGGAAAGAUUUAUCGCUAUUAGAUGAGCCUAUAUUGGAUUAGCUAGUUGGUAAGGUAAUGGCUUACCAAGGCAGUGAUCUAUAGCUGGUUUGAGAGGAUGAUCAGCCACACUGGAAUUGAGAUACGGUCCAG
rnacentral:rRNA from 1 species